rnacentral:rRNA from 1 species
UACAGAGGUCUCAAGCGUUGUUCGGAUUCAUUGGGCGUAAAGGGUGCGUAGGCGGCGCGGUAAGUCGGGUGUGAAAUCUUGGAGCUUAACUCCGAAACUGCAUUCGAUACUGCCCGUGCUUGAGGACUGGGAGAGGAGACUGGAAUUUACGGUGUAGCGGUGAAAUGCGUAGAUAUCGUAAGGAAGACCAGUGGCGAAGGCGGGUCUCUGGACAGUUCCUGACGCUGAGGCACGAAGGCCAGGGGAGCAAACGGG